rnacentral:lncRNA from 1 species
AGAAAUUAUUGUAAUUGUCGUUUAAAUAGUAAAAUCUUUCUGCAUUCUCCUAUGAUUUUUUAUGCCAAAUUAUUUGGAGGGUUUCUCGUGUAAAAUACAUGUGUCCAUUUUAUCUUCAUUUCUCUCAAUUUCACUUUAGUUGACUGUGUCACCGGUAUUGUCCUAACAGUAGUGAGCUUGGGCGUGUUCAUUCGCUGGCAGUAGCAACAUUAAUAUUGGACUUUAUAACAUUUGCUAUGACCAAAAUUACCUUACAAACUCUCAUUCAUUACUAGAAAAAAUAGGUUUUACUGACACCAAUUUAGUGUCAGUAAUUACUUUUACUGACACUUAUUAAUUGUGUCAGUAAUGCUCAAGUCAGAACACACUGACACUAAAAAUUAGUGUCAGUGAUAUUUGUGUCAGUAAUUCGUGUCACUAUAGUAUCACCAAAAUAGUGACACUAUAGUGUUAGUAUUUAAUGAUACUAUUUUUGUGUCAGUAAUUCGUGUCACUAUAGUAUCACCAAAAUAAUGAUACUAUAGUGUUAGUAUUUGAUGAUACUAUUUGUGUGUCAGUAAUUUGCGUUACUAUAGUAUCACUAAAAUAAUGACACAAUAGUGUUAGUAUUUAAUGAUACUAUUUACAUAUUAGUUAUUUAUAUAAUUUUAAAUAUUUAGUGAUGUUAUGUUGCUUUUGAUUAAUAGUAU